AUGCCUCCGUUUCUGUGUCUGCCAGCUGUCUGCAUUCUCCUCUUCUACACAGUGUCCCCGUCCAUCUCUCUCCAAGAAUUCUCUGUGAGCAAGGAGACCAUCGGGAAGAUUGCAGUGGCCAGCAAAUUGAUGUGGUGCUCGGCAGCGGUCGACAUCCUGUUCCUGUUAGAUGGCUCUCACAGUGUCGGGAAAGGGAGCUUCGAGAGAUCCAAGCACUUUGCCAUGACCGUCUGUGACGCUCUGGACAUCAGCCCCGGGAGGGUCAGGGUGGGAGCCUUGCAGUUUGGUUCCACUCCUCAUCUGGAAUUCCCCUUGGACUCCUUUUCUACCCGACAGGAAGUGAAGGCAAACAUCAAGGGAAUAACUUUCAAAGGUGGGCGCACAGAGACAGGCCUUGCUCUGAAGAGUCUGCACAGAGGGUUCCCGGGAGGCAGACAUGGUGCUGUGCCCCAGCUCCUCAUCAUCGUCACGGAUGGCAAGUCCCAGGGGCCUGUGGCUCUGCCUGCUAAGCAGCUGAAAGAGAGGGAUAUCGUUGUGUUUGCCGUAGGAGUCCGGUUCCCCAGGUGGGACGAGCUGUUCACCCUGGCCAGUGAGCCAAAGGAGCAGCACGUGCUGUUUGCUGAGCAAGUGGAGGAUGCCACCAACGGCCUCCUCAGCACCCUGAGCGCCUCAGCGCUCUGCACCUCUGCUGAUCCAGAUUGCAGGGUGGAAGCUCACCCCUGUGAGCGCAAGACACUGGAGACCAUCAGGGAACUGGCUGGCCAUGCCCUGUGCUGGAGGGGGUCGAGGCAGGCGGAUGCUGUGCUGGCUGUGCGCUGUCCCUUCUACAGCUGGAAGAGAGUGUUCCAGACACACCCCGGCACCUGCUACAGAACCAUCUGUCCAGGCCCCUGUGACUCCCAGCCCUGCCAAAACGGAGGCACAUGCAUUCCAGAGGGUGUGGAUAAGUACCACUGCCUCUGCCCGCUGGCAUUCGGAGGGGAGGUCAACUGUGCCCCGAAGCUGAGCCUGGAAUGCCGGAUCGACAUCCUCUUCCUGCUGGACAGUUCUGCGGGCACCACCCUGGAGGGCUUCCUGCGGGCCAAGGCUUUUGUGAAGCGCUUCAUGCAGGCCGUGCUGAGUGAGGACUCUCGCGCCCGUGUUGGGGUGGCCAGUUACAGCCGGGACCUGACAGUGGCCGUGCCUGUCGGGGAGUACCAGGAUGUGCCAGACCUGGCCAGGAGCCUUGACGGCAUCCCCUUCCGUGGCGGCCCAACGCUGACCGGCAGUGCCCUGCUGCAGGUGUUAGAGCAUGGCUUUGGGAGUGCCAGCAGGACAGGCCAGGACAGACCACGCAGAGUUGUGGUCCUGCUCACCGAGUCACACUCCCACGAUGAGGUGGCCGGGCUGGCAGAUCACGCAAGGGCCCGGGAGCUGCUCCUCCUGGGCGUGGGCAGUGAGAUGGUGCAGGCGGAGCUGGAGGAGAUAACCGGCAGCUCGAAGAAUGUGAUCGUCUACACGGACCCUCAGGACCUAUUCAGCCAGAUCCCGGAGCUGCAGAGGAGGCUGUGCAGCCAGCCACGACCAGGCUGCCAAGCACAGUCACUGGACCUGGUGUUCCUGCUGGAUGCCUCUGCCUCCGUGGGACCUGAGAACUUCGCACAGAUGCAGGCGUUCAUCAGGAAAUGCACCCUCCAUUUUGAUGUGAACCCUGAUGUGACACAGGUGGGCCUGGUGGUCUAUGGCAGCCAGGUGCAGACAGCCUUCGGACUGGACACCCAUUCCACCCGCGCCGCCGUGUUGCGGGUCAUGAGCCAGGCUCCCUACCUAGGGGGUGUGGGGUCUGCUGGAACAGCCCUGCUGCACAUCAACGACAAGGUGAUGACCAUCCAGAGGGGCGCCCGCCCUGGUGUCCCCAAGGCUGUGGUGAUGAUCACAGGUGGGAGUGGGGCGGAAGAUGCAGCUGUCCCUGCCCAGAAGCUGAGAAGCAAUGGCAUCUCCGUCUUGGUUGUGAGCGUGGGGGCUGUCGUCAGGGAGGCUGUGCGGAGGCUCGCUGGUCCCCGGGACUCCCUGAUCCAUGUGGCAGCUUAUGCAGACCUACGGUACCAUCAGGACGCACUCACUGAGUGGCUAUGUAGAGAAGCCAAGCGGCCAGUCAACCUCUGCAAACCCAGCCCAUGUAUGAAUGAAGGCACCUGUGUCCUGAAGAACGGCAGUUACCGCUGCGAGUGCCGAGGUGGCUGGGGAGGCCCCCACUGUGAGAACCGUGAGUGGGUUCCUUCUGCGAGUGUGGAUGGGGAUGGUCUCCGUCGUCCUGCCAAGUCCUACAGACUCAGCAGAAGGCAGGCUGUCCUAUUCAGUCAUCUGCCCGUCCCCUAGGAAACAUGUGGAAGGGUCUUCCAUGUCCCAGACAUUCUUUUCUAGGGUCGGAGAUGCAGGGCGAUGGCUGAGACAGAAGAUCUGCCCUGUGGAGCUUCCAUUCUAGUGUGCAGUACAGUGCAGCGGUGGCAUUGGGAGGAGUCAGGUGCCCUGGAAACAGCAUGACAGCGGGGAGGGAAACGCAGAGCAUAGGGACAGUAUUGGAGGUGGAACCAGAGACAUGCGGGUGAGUAGACACAGGGACAGUAUUGGAGGUGGGACCAGAGCAUAGGGACAGUAUUGGAGGUGGGACCAGAGACAUGCGGGUGGGUAGACACAGGGACAGUGUCAGAGGUGGGACCAGAGACAUGCGGGUGGGUAGACACAGGGACAGUGUCAGAGGGGGGACCAGAGACAUGCAGGUGGGUAGGCAGUGUGGCAGCCGCUGCCCAUUCUUGAGUAUCUCCAUUUGUUUGGUGACAUACGGGAACAGCCUGCUGGGUGGGGGCGAGGUGCUGGAGCCUUAAGAGGAAAGGUGCCAUAAGGGAGAGCCAGAUAACAGGCCUGGGGGGACAGCAGCACCCGAGCCUCCUACAUCAGGCAGAAAUCAAGACAACCCCAAGUUAUGGGUUUUCAGCCCUCGGUGCACAUUGGCUUCCAACGGCCAAGGAGGAGGCAUGGGUGGUGGGGUGGAGGUCUGACCUGGCAUCUUUCACUCAGGGGAUUGAGUUGUGGAGUGAAAAGGACAUGAAGUAGCCAUUGGCUGAGGGGAAGACUCAAGCACCCUCAAAAUUCACUUUCUUUCCCAGGCAUCUUGAGAGGCGAUGCUCCCAUGGCAGAGCCCACAAGAAGACAGCAGCCAACCCCCUCCCAGCAAGCUCCCGGGCAUCUCAGGAUCUGAAAGACACUGUAUGGCCCAGUAUACCUCCUGGGGUCCUGGAACAGCUGCUUCCAGCUCUAAGCAGCGCUGUCCUGCCCACAAGCCUCUGCCACAGAGAACUUUGCUGCUUGGGACGUUGGAAACUCCUAACGUGUCAGUAUUGAUGUCCUGGAUCUGCUGGUCACUUUUCUAGAGGAUAAGAAAGAGGUCAGGGGAAUUUGAUGGCCUGUUUGGGGGUCAUUUUGACCAUCGCAAAUGCUAGACAGAAUGCUGGAAAGGUUGCAGUGCCCAGAGGAAGGCGUCCGACAGAGUGUACCAUGUGAUGGUAUUGACACAAAACGUGGGCUUCUCCAUUUUCCAAAGAUAGCUUGUGGAUUUAGCUUGAAAAAGGAUUUUGUGGCAUUUGUGACUUUUUCUGGUGAUCAGAUCUGCAUGUGGGAAAGACAUUAGGAAGGUCUCAGACAGCAAUCUGACCAUUUAUAACCAGUCUGAGUAUACAGACGGGGCAUAGUGUACAAACGGCUCUGGUCUCCCUGUGUGGUUGGUCUGGGUGCUGCGCAGGAAGACCUCCAGGGGGUUUCCUUUCAGAGAUUAUUAGAGAGGCGAGUGGUACGGGGGUCCUCUUUUUAGUGGUGGCAAUGAAGGGCAGACUUCACAAACUCGGUCGGCCAUUAAGGAGUGAAGGGGUAACGAGGAGGUUCUCUUUGAAAGCUUAUUGGAUUGCUUUGUCUUACAUGCUUCUCCCGCUCAGUCACUGGUGUAUGUGGAGUAGUUGUGUCUGUGUGGCCGAGAGGACUCUUUGAGCACCUAACUCUGCAGCGCUAACGUGUGCUGUUGGGAGCUGGGCUGCCAGCGGCAGCAUGGAGCGCUCUGAAGCUGCAGACAGCCUUUGAGAAGCAUGGGUAAUGUCAUGAUGCGAUGCGUACGACAUAAGCUCCCACUGUGAGAGGUCCCCACCAUUACAGGUGUAGAGAACCUUGUCGGGGUUCUGUGCGCCAAGUCUGUCUGGCCGAGACGCUACUUCUCUCUCCAGGUUUGCGCUGUGAUUCCCCCAGCCACAUUUAGACUGCGGAUACGGACAGUUCCAUAUUGUUACAUUUCAAUCAUUGAACCGAUCUUCUGGCUCCACGGAUAAGGUCUGGUUUGCAGUAUGUAGACAUUUUUCUAUCGGAGCAGUGCUAACUUUCAUCCUGUUGCAUCCAUGAUCUUCUCAGCAGUGUCUGUAUUUAAGGCUUCCCUGUCAAUUCUGCUUUUCCGUCUGCUUUGGUAGCGUGUUCAAGGAGUCAGAAUUUGGUCUUGUUGAUUUUUAAGUAGAAAAUAAAUACAUUUAUGUUCUAAAUUUCCUUAAUCAUUGCAUAGGCAGCUUUUUACACAUCGGUAUGUUUCUUCUCUCCAAGAGUUUCCUGUUUAACAUCCAGAGGUUUGGUUUCCAAUUGUAUGCAUGACAUUAGCUCCCUUGAGGCAUUUCCUGUGUAUUUGGUACCUUAUCGAUUAUACAGAAAUUAACUCAGAACU